rnacentral:rRNA from 1 species
CCUACGGGAGGCAGCAGUGAGGAAUAUUGGUCAAUGGACGAGAGUCUGAACCAGCCAAGUAGCGUGAAGGAUGACUGCCCUAUGGGUUGUAAACUUCUUUUAUAUGGGAAUAAAGUGUUCCACGUGUGGCAUUUUGUAUGUACCAUAUGAAUAAGGAUCGGCUAACUCCGUGCCAGCAGCCGCGGUAAUUCGGAGGAUCCGAGCGUUAUCCGGAUUUAUUGGGUUUAAAGGGAGCGUAGGUGGAUUGUUAAGUCAGUUGUGAAAGUUUGCGGCUCAACCGUAAAAUUGCAGUUGAGACUGGCAGUCUUGAGUACAGGAGAGGUAGGCGGAAUUCGUGGUGUAGCGGUGAAAUGCUUAGAUAUCACGAAGAACUCCGAUUGCGAAGGCAGCUCACUGGACUGCAACUGACAUUGAGGCUCGAAAGUGUGGGUAUCAAACAGGAUUAGAUACCCGUGUAGUC